CUAUACAACCACUAAAAACAUAGGAGAUAAACACGCCCGAACUCGUCUGAUCUCGGAAGCUGAGCAGGGUCGGGCCUGGUUAGUACUUGGAUGGGAGACCACCUAGGAAGACCAGAUGCUGUAGGUG
rnacentral:rRNA from 1 species